rnacentral:misc_RNA from 1 species
AUGGCCAUGUCCUCCUUUUGGCUGGAGUCUCAAAAUACCAUUGGGUAAGCUCAUCUCGUCGUAAACCAGAAGGAUGUGACGCAUUGGCACCUGAUAAUAUGCUGCAAGCGGUCCAACUGCUUCUCCACUGAAAUUCAUGUAGGCCUGAGGCUUUGCCAAUACAACAGGUACCUCCCCAAUGGAACCUAUCCCUAUCAAGGACUUCGACUGUAUUGUGUUUAACACGAUACCCUCCUCUUGAGAAACUCUAUCAAUCAUCUCGAAACCAACAUUGUGUCGAGUUCCGUGAUACUUGUUUCCAGGAUUUCCCAAUCCAACAAUUAACCAAGGAGUGAACUCAACCUUAACCCCAUUAGGCUCUGGAAGUGAAGCUGAUACUCUAAGCCUUGUUGGGGCUAAAGGCUUUUGAUAACAAGGGAUUCUUGAAUACGAUAUACUGCAACUUUUUGGGGCAUAUACUGCAUGCAACAUUGACCUCAAUUGGACUCUUCUCUCUGUUUAUACGGGUCAAGAAAAUGAUUCAAGCUAAGAAGAAGCACUGUUGGGCAGAGUGAAUUUGCCCG